rnacentral:pre_miRNA from 1 species
GGCUGUGCCGGGUAGAGAGGGCCACGGGAGAUAAGAGCUUUUCACCCCUCACCACCUUCUCCACCCAGCAUGGCC